rnacentral:rRNA from 1 species
CCGGCACGGGUGAGUAACGCGUAUGCAACUUGCCUAUCAGGAGGGGGAGAACCGGCGAAAGUCGGACUAAUACCGCAUGAAGCAGGGGCCCCGCAUGGGGAUAUUUGCUAAAGAUUCAUCGCUGAUAGAUAGGCAUGCGUUCCAUUAGGCAGUUGGCGGGGUAACGGCCCACCAAACCGACGAUGGAUAGGGGUUCUGAGAGGAAGGUCCCCCACAUUGGUACUGAGACACGGACCAA